CUUCAUUGUUGGCCCAUUGCUUGCUGUAACAGUAUUAGCAUUCGUUGCCUUGUACCUUUGGAAAAGACGAAUUGCUGGCAGAAAAAGACCAGCAGAUGUUGAAGAGGAAGUGGAGAUGGGAACGUUAAAUCCGGGCGUGGAUAAAUGGGAGAUAUCACGU